GCGGCAGUAGCUCAGCUGGAUAGAGCAACGGCCUUCUAAGCCGUAGGUCGGGGGUUCGAGCCCCUCCUGCCGCGCCA
rnacentral:tRNA from 1 species